CGUUUCUCCCAGAAGACGUAUUGAUUAUCUCGCAAGGCGAAAGUCAUAAGGUUGUGUUUGAAUUAAUACGUUCGUGUCAGAAGAGAAAGUCGCAAAUGGAAUACUUGGUUGGGGGAUAUUGCUGAAACGAAAGUCAUGGAGUGGCUGGAUGUUUCAUUGGAGGCGGAGGUAUUAACAACGGCACAACAUGAUACGAAUAGCCCGGUCGACAUGAUAGCAAUUUGAAUGUGAAGUGCGAUUAUGCGAUGACGACAGUACGAUAACGCGAUAGUACGAUGGCGACAAUGCGAUAAUACGAUGACGACAGUGCAACAAUAUGAUGGCGACAGUGUGAUAGGACGAUGGCGACAAUCCGACAAUGCGAUAGUGCGAUAGUACGAUGGUGACAAUGCGAUAAUACGAUGACGACAGUGCGGCAAUACGAUGGCGACAGGGCGAUAGUACGAUGGUGACAAUCCAUGCGAUAGUGCGAUAGUACGAUUGCGACGAUGCGAUAAUACGAUGACGAAUGUGCGACAACACCAUGGCGACAGUGCGAUAGUACGAUGGCGACAAUGUGAUUAUACGAUAACGACAGUACGAUAACGCGAUAGCACUGGAAAAUGGAAGUCUGCAGUAAGUGCAAACUGCACGCGCUUUGUACUGAAAUGGAUACAGAAACUUCGUUGACUAACCUAUACAUUAUAUUUGUACUUCUGUGGACAACCAAUACAUACUCUGUGCGAAACCAAUACAUAACGCGACUUGUAAUUUCCUUUGAAACAAAGCAUUUGAAUAAUUAAAUAUUUGUUCAUAACCUGUUUUGUACUGUUAAAUGUGUAAUGUACACUGAAUCAAAGUAACAUGUGGUUUUAUUAAAUUUAAGUAACUGUAAUUGACUAUUUUAAAUGA